rnacentral:rRNA from 1 species
UAGGGAAUCUUCCGCAAUGGACGAAAGUCUGACGGAGCAACGCCGCGUGAGUGAAGAAGGAUUUCGGUUCGUAAAACUCUGUUGUUAGGGAAGAAAAAAUGUAUAGUAACUAUAUACAAAAGAGACGGUACCUAACCAGAAAGCCACGGCUAACUACGUGCCAGCAGCCGCGGUAAUACUUAGGUGGCAAGCGUUGUCCGGAAUUAUUUGGCGUAAAGCGCGCGCCGGUGGUAUAGAAAGUCUGAUGUGAAAGCCCACGGCUCAACCGUGGAGGGUCAUUUGAAACUAAUACACUUGGGUGCAGGAGAGAAAAGUGGAAUUCCUAGUGUAGCGGUGAAAUGCGUAGAGAUUAGGAGGAACACCGGUGGCGAAAGCGGCUUUUUGGCCUGCAACUGACACUGAGGCGCGAAAGCGUGGGGAGCAAACAGG